AAUGAAACUUCUAACAGUGAAAUAAAAUCAUGCAUGAGGGAGGAGAAACAACGACGCCAGGUUGAAGAUAGCUUGAAAAUGAAACUUCUAACAGUGAAAUAAAAUCAUGCAUGAGGGAGGAGAAACAACGACGCCAGGGUGAAGAUAGCUUGAAAAUUUAGACGAUACAAAUUGCUUGGCUUAUUAAAUGUUAUCUUUGUUAAAACUAUCUUAAAAAAUUCGAUAAUUCCUUUUUUCCAUAAAGCCCAUGGAUACUCUCGAGUUAUAUUGUAUAAGAAGGCUGUCGUUAAUCACGGGAGAGUUAUGAGAAAGUUACAUGCACUGUAGAAAAGUAACAAGUAAAAAACGUAUAAACAC